rnacentral:rRNA from 2 species
UACUUUCUUCGAAUUUGUUAGCGGCGGACGGGUGAGUAACACGUGGGUAACCUACCUAUAAGACUGGGAUAACUCCGGGAAACCGGGGCUAAUACCGGAUAAUAUUUUGAACCGCAUGGUUCAAUAGUGAAAGACGGUUUCGGCUGUCACUUAUAGAUGGACCCGCGCCGUAUUAGCUAGUUGGUAAGGUAACGGCUUACCAAGGCGACGAUACGUAGCCGACCUGAGAGGGUGAUCGGCCACACUGGAACUGAGACACGGUCCAGACUCCUACGGGAGGCAGCAGUAGGGAAUCUUCCGCAAUGGGCGAAAGCCUGACGGAGCAACGCCGCGUGAGUGAUGAAGGUCUUCGGAUCGUAAAACUCUGUUGUUAGGGAAGAACAAAUUUGUUAGUAACUGAACAAGUCUUGACGGUACCUAACCAGAAAGCCACGGCUAACUACGUGCCAGCAGCCGCGGUAAUACGUAGGUGGCAAGCGUUAUCCGGAAUUAUUGGGCGUAAAGCGCGCGUAGGCGGUUUCUUAAGUCUGAUGUGAAAGCCCACGGCUCAACCGUGGAGGGUCAUUGGAAACUGGGAAACUUGAGUGCAGAAGAGGAGAGUGGAAUUCCAUGUGUAGCGGUGAAAUGCGCAGAGAUAUGGAGGAACACCAGUGGCGAAGGCGGCUCUCUGGUCUGUAACUGACGCUGAUGUGCGAAAGCGUGGGGAUCAAACAGGAUUAGAUACCCUGGUAGUCCACGCCGUAAACGAUGAGUGCUAAGUGUUANGGGGUUUCCGCCCCUUAGUGCUGCAGCUAACGCAUUAAGCACUCCGCCUNGGGAGUACGACCGCAAGNUUGAAACUCAANGGAAUUGACGGGACCCGCACAAGCGGUGNAGCAUGUGGUUUANUUCGAAGCANCGCGAAGAAC